rnacentral:rRNA from 1 species
UACGGGGGGGCGAAGCGUUGUUCGGAAUCACUGGGCGUAAAGCGUCUGUAGGUGGUUCGAAAAGUCCACUGUUAAAAAUUGAAGCUUAACUUCAAAGAUGCCGUGGAAACUUUCAAACUAGAGUGUGGUAGGGGUAGAGGGAAUUUCCAGGUGGAGCGGUGAAAUGCGUAGAUAUUGGAAAGACCACCGAUGGCGAAGGCACUCUACUGGGCCAUUACUGACACUGAGAGACGAAAGCUAGGGGAGCAAAUGGGG